rnacentral:rRNA from 1 species
AAUGAAACCAGAUAUGACUUAGUGGCGGACGGGUGAGUAACACGUGAGCAACCUGCCCUUCAGAGGGGGGAUAACGGCUGGAAACGGUCGCUAAUACCGCAUGAUGUGUUCGGAUGGCAUCAUUUGAACAUCAAAGAUUUAUCGCUGAAAGAUGGGGCUCGCGUCUGAUUAGAUAGUUGGUGGGGUAACGGCCUACCAAGUCGACGAUCAGUAGCCGGACUGAGAGGUUGAACGGCCACAUUGGGACUGAGACACGGCCCCAAACUCC